ACCUUAGCGCGCUCUGGGCCCAUUUUCCGUCGCCGUAGCAGCGCAGUAAGGACGCCACCCCGGUGUGACGGGGGUAUGACCAAGAAUAAUGAAGUAAGGUAAAAAGAUUAAAGAAUAAAGUGAAGGAGUUGACCCAUUUGCUGUUAUUUUGUCAUGAAUAUACUAAGACUGAAAUUAGUAUAUGAUGCAGAGUGCACACGUGUAAAUGGUAUGUGUCGAUGUCAUAGACAAUAGAGGAGCGAAGAAAAGUUGCAUCAUAGAACACCAGUGUAGUGACGAACGAUAAUUAUCAAUAACAAGGAAACACAAUAAUACUGUGAUAAAAUGUUAGUUUCCUUUCAAAUAAAAUAUUUUGAACUAAAAAA